rnacentral:rRNA from 9 species
UAAACGACUCUCGGCAACGGAUAUCUCGGCUCUCGCAUCGAUGAAGAACGUAGCGAAAUGCGAUACUUGGUGUGAAUUGCAGAAUCCCGUGAACCAUCGAGUUUUUGAACGCAAGUUGCGCCCGAAACCAUUAGGUUGAGGGCACGCCUGCCUGGGCGUCUCAC